rnacentral:misc_RNA from 1 species
UGAUGCUCUUAAAGCAUACACUGCCAAGGCGUCACAAGCUUCGAGUCCACAUCUUUGUUUGGAUGCUACUCUAGGACGUAUGCGAUGCCUUGCUGCUCUAGCUCGGUGGGAGGAGCUUAACAAUCUUUGUAAGGAAUACUGGACGCCAGCUGAGCCAGCAGCUCGACUGGAAAUGGCACCAAUGGCUGCUAAUGCUGCCUGGAACAUGGGUGAGUGGGAUCAGAUGGCAGAAUAUGUUUCUCGGCUUGAUGAUGGUG